rnacentral:rRNA from 1 species
AGUGAACGCUGGCGGUAGGCCUAACACAUGCCAGUCGAACGGCAGCACAGUAAGAGCUUGCUCUUACGGGUGGCGAGUGGCGGACGGGUGAGGAAUACAUCGGAAUCUACUUUUUCGUGGGGGAUAACGUAGGGAAACUUACGCUAAUACCGCAUACGACCUACGGGUGAAAGCAGGGGAUCUUCGGACCUUGCGCGAUUGAAUGAGCCGAUGUCGGAUUAGCUAGUUGGCGGGGUAAAGGCCCACCAAGGCGACGAUCCGUAGCUGGUCUGAGAGGAUGAUCAGCCACACUGGAACUGAGACACGGUCCAGACUCCUACGGGAGGCAGCAGUGGGGAAUAUUGGACAAUGGGCGCAAGCCUGAUCCAGCCAUACCGCGUGGGUGAAGAAGGCCUUCGGGUUGUAAAGCCCUUUUGUUGGGAAAGAAAAGCAGCAGGUUAAUACCCCGCUGUUCGGACGGUACCCAAAGAAUAAGCACCGGCUAACUUCGU